GACUAACGUAGCACGUGCAGAUGCGCGGAAUGCACGAAAUGCCCGAGCCUCUUUACAUGUCAGUCGAACCUUGGACCAUAUGUCACUGAUGUGCUGUGAGAAGGUCAGCAAAACAGUACCUUAUCCUUCGAUGUAUCGCUCCCACACAAUACACAAAGGUCUUUCAAGUUUGAACUAUGAAAUAGCUUCAGCAGCUGUCUUUCACUGAGAAGACAUGUUUCUCAGCAAAGCAUUACAACUGCACUUUGGUCCAGGCAAUGCAGUGAUUGACACCAAAGCACCGUUAAACUGGUUUAUGAGAACAAGUAUCAACCAAGUCUGGCCACCGGAUCUCGUUCGAGGACAGGCAUGGCAUAACAACUGCCCGCUGAACAUCUUCUACUUCGGUCCAGGCAAUAUGGGAAAUGAUAACAAGCAUCGACCAAGUCGCUGUGCCAGACCACCUCAUCCUGUUAGAGGAGAGCACAAGCCUGGGUUGCUGAAGAUCAGGUCAGUAUUUCCUAAUAACCCUCAUCAAGGGCCAAAUCUCAUAAGAUGGUGAAUAAUACCUUAGGAGACAAGAAGCCCCCCACAUGAGAGGUCACCAGAAUAUCCAGGAGGCUUGCAACAGUGAGAGGACAACUGACACCAUGAUGGCAAGUCACGACCCUGAUAUUAGGGACCUUUUGUGGCAGCAAUGGAUCAAGUCAGAAACCCAUAUGCAUUGCAACAAAACAUGAACAUCAGCUGACAUCACAACAAAGACAUGUUGACCACGAGACUUGAUUCCAGACCACAUCCGGGGUGCUGCUACUGCAGUCAACCAUCUGCCGACACCUCCUUGUACUGGAACAGACCCUUCUUUAUGUGACACAGUGAAAUCUGCUGGGGGUCAGAGGGCAUGCUGUACACACCCUGGUCACCAAGGAAUACAUGACUGAAAAUGGUCAAGGACAAUAAAAAUGCAUUUGUAAUAUGUAGAUUUAUAAUCUGAAAUUGUAUCCAUUUAAAACUGGAUAACUAAUAUAAUAAUACCCAUCUUUAGGCAAACAUUACGCACUUGUGUUUGUGGUUACUCAUGUCAAUAGCAGGUUCCACAAGAUGAUAAAUAUUGCAACGAUUUGCUUUGAUACUUGUAUGGCAAAUUAUCCAAUGAGAAUUGUUACUUGUAUGACAAAGGAUACGGCAAGCGGAGCACCCAGAUCUGUCCAGGUGGUAAGGUCAUGGACUCAUCAUUGCCGGGAUAGAACAGAGGACACGACCCUGGCGCAGGCUGUAUUUGAGGCUUCAGCUGAACUCUGAUUGGUCCGUCUGGAGUCACCACAAAUAUCCGCAUCAGCUGCGCCAUGUAACCCUUGGCACUCCUGUAGAUCAAGAAGCAAGUCAUUUGUAUGAAAUAGGCUAAUUGUGUAAAAUCAUGUUCAUGUUAAAUUGCAGUACAGCAAGGAGGACUCACCUGCAGUGACAGGGGCAGUAGAGAGGCAUGUCCAUGGUCAGAAGCUUGUUGGCAUUGUCCUGAAAUGAAACAUGGGGUAUAUUAAAUGCCAAAGUGAACCUGAACAAUCAUACCAGUCACUGUUAUCGUAUAUUUCAACAUCAGGAGUACGUUCUCCAUAUUUUUUCUCGUCAUAUGAGUGAAAUAUUCUCAAGCACGACGUUAAACCCAAUUUCACCUCACCUUAUUUUUUCAAUAUAGGAGUGCUGAAUGGAAUAUAAUGGCAAAUCAGUAA